CCUACGGGAGGCAGCAGUGAGGAAUAUUGGUCAAUGGCCGGAAGGCUGAACCAGCCAUGCCGCGUGAAGGUCAGUGCCCUAUGGGCGUUAAACUUCUUUUGUGCGGGAGCAAUAAUGGUCACGUGUGGCCAGACGAGAGUACCGUACGAAUAAGCAUCGGCUAACUCCGUACCAGCAGCCGCGGUAAUACGGGGGAUGCAAGCGUUAUCCGGAUUUAUUGGGUUUAAAGGGUGCGUAGGCUGUGAGGUAAGUCAGCGGUGAAAUGCCCCCGCUCAACGGGGUGAAGUGCCAUUGUUACUGCCUGGCUGGAAUGCGGAUGCCGUGGGAGGAAUGUGUGGUGUAGCGGUGAAAUGCAUAGAUAUCACACAGAACACCGAUUGCGAAGGCAUCUCACGAAGCCGCGAUUGACGCUGCUGCACGAAAGCGUGGGUAUCAAACAGGAUUAGAUACCCGAGUAGUC
rnacentral:rRNA from 1 species